rnacentral:rRNA from 1 species
CAUGCAAGUCGAGCGGAUGAAAGGAGCUUGCUCCUGGAUUCAGCGGCGGACGGGUGAGUAAUGCCUAGGAAUCUGCCUGGUAGUGGGGGACAACGUUUCGAAAGGAACGCUAAUACCGCAUACGUCCUACGGGAGAAAGCAGGGGACCUUCGGGCCUUGCGCUAUCAGAUGAGCCUAGGUCGGAUUAGCUAGUUGGUGAGGUAAUGGCUCACCAAGGCGACGAUCCGUAACUGGUCUGAGAGGAUGAUCAGUCACACUGGAACUGAGACACGGUCCAGACUCCUACGGGAGGCAGCAGUGGGGAAUAUUGGACAAUGGGCGAAAGCCUGAUCCAGCCAUGCCGCGUGUGUGAAGAAGGUCUUCGGAUUGUAAAGCACUUUAAGUUGGGAGGAAGGGUUGUAGAUUAAUACUCUGCAAUUUUGACGUUACCGACAGAAUAAGCACCGGCUAACUCUGUGCCAGCANCCGG